UACAGAGGUCCCAAGCGUUGUUCGGAUUCAUUGGGCGUAAAGGGUGCGUAGGCGGCGCGGUAAGUCAGACGUGAAAUCCCUCGGCUUAACCGGGGAACUGCGUCUGAUACUGGAUGGCUUGAGUUCGGGAGAGGGAUGCGGAAUUCCAGGUGUAGCGGUGAAAUGCGUAGAUAUCUGGAGGAACACCGGUGGCGAAGGCGGCAUCCUGGACCGACACUGACACUGAGGAGCGAAAGCCAGGGGAGCAGACGGG
rnacentral:rRNA from 1 species